rnacentral:lncRNA from 1 species
AGCUGAAGCUGCUGACUAUCACACUCGGUCCCGCUAAAUUUUUGCGACGUCCUCGUCGCAACUGAAUCCAUUACAAUUGCUAACCAGGACCGAACCCUCGGGUAUUGUGGUUCGCUAGUACCUCGGGCGGCUCCACCUCGUCUCUCACGGGUAGCCCUUUCCUCGCAGGCCCACUAGCUCUGCACAAUUUGUCUGACCGAGAGUGACUCUGAUACCAAUUGAAACAGCCGGGCCCGAACUGGCCCAAAUAACUUUUGGACCCACUUUCCACUUGGCCCAAAAUGGUUAACCCAAGUUAUUUAGUAGUUCUGUGCUAGCUAUUAUAUACAAUUCAAUUUCCUUCAAAUCUUCCGAUGUGGGAUGGAUUUGCGCCGCAAAUCCGCAAGUAAGCAGCUGAAGCUGCUGACUAUCACACUCGGUCCCGCUAAAUUUUUGCGACAUCCUCGUCGCAACUGAAUCCAUUACAAUUGCUAACCAGGACCGAACCCUCGGGUAUUGUGGUUCGCUAGUAUCUCGGGCGGCUCCACCUCGUCUCUCACGGGUAGCCCUUUCCUCGCAGGCCCACUAGCUCUGCACAAUUUGUCUGACCCAGGGUGACUCUGAUACCAAUUGAAACAGUCGGGCCCAAGCUGGCCCAAAUAACUUUUGGACCCACUUUCCACUUGGUCCAAAAUGGUUAACCCAAGUUAUUUAGUAGUUCUGUGCUAGCUAUUUUCAAUCUUCCGAUGUGGGACGGUCAGUUGUCGCAAUUCCGCCAAGAAGGCAGCUGACUGUUACACUCGGUCCCACUAAAUUUUGCGACGUCCUCGUCGCAACUGAAUCCAUUACAAUUGCUAACCAGGAUCAGACCCUUAGGUAUUGUGGUUCGCUAGUACCUCGGGUGGCUCCACCUCGUCUCUCACGGGUAGCCCUUUCCUCGCAGGCCCACUAGCUCCGCACAAUUUAUCUGACCCAGGGUGGCUCUGAUACCAAUUGAAACAGCCGGGCCUGAACUGGCCCAAAUAACUUUUGGACCCCCUUUCCACUUGGUCCAAAAUGGUUAACUCAAAUUAUUUAGUAGUUCUGUGCUAGCUAUUCUAUACAAUUCAAUUUCCUUCAAAUCUUCCGAUGUGGGAUGGAUUUGCGCCGCAAAUCCGCAAGUAAGCAGCUGAAGCUGCUGACUAUCACACUCGGUCCCGCUAAAUUUUUGCAACGUCCUCGUCGCAACAGAAUCCCUUACAAUUGCUAACCAGGACCGAACCCUCGGGUAUUGUGGUUCGCUAGUAC